CCCCUCAGAUGGGUUUUUGGGGGCACCCUGGGCCCCUGUGACCUCCUGGACGUGUUUUGGGGACAACCUGAAGCCUUGUGACACCUCGGACUUGGUUUUGGGGACAACCUGGACUCCUCGGACGUGUUUUGGGGGACAGCUCGAAGCCCUGUGACCCCUCGGACGUGCUUUUGGGGACAAACUGGACCCCUAUAACCCCUCGGAUGGGUUUUGGGGGACAACUUGAAGCCCUGCCACCCCUCGGACGUGAUUUUGGGGACAACCCGGACCCCUGUAACCCCAUGUGUGUGGUUUUGGAGACAACCCAGACCCCUCGGACGUGGUUUUGGGGACAAUCUGGAGCCUUGGGACCCCUCGGAUGUGCUUUGGGGGACAAUCUGGAGCUCUGUGACCCCUCGGACAUGAUUUUGGGGACAACCCAGACCCCUCAGAUGUGCUUUUGGGGACAACCUGGACCCUCUGGGACACCUUGGACGUGGUUUUGGGGACACCCUGGAGCUCUCAGAUGUUUUUUGGGGGACAACUUGGUGCCCUGGGACCCCUGAGAUGGGUUUUUGGGGACAAUCUGGAGCCCUGUGGCCCCCCCCCUUGCCCCCAGCCACCUCUGUCCCCCUCUGGCCGGGCACGGGGGCAGGGAGACGUGUCCCUUGUCCCCGUCCCCCCAUGUCCCCCCCCUCGGGAGCUGUUUACGCGCCGCGGGGACGGGUCAAGGGCAUGUUUUGUAACGGGAGGAGCUGGAGCGGGGCCAGUGGCCACUGGAAACGGGCACCGCCGCCUCCCCCCCCACCCAAAAAAGCCCCCUUUCACCCCAAACCAGCACCCUUUCACCCCCAAACGCCCAUUUCACCCCCCAAAACUGAAAUUUCAUCCCCAAAAAGCCCCCGUUUCACCCCCAAAAAACCCAAUUUCACCCCCAAACCCCUGAUUUCACCCCAAAAUACCUUAAUUUCUCCCCCCAAAAGGCCUCAUUUCAUCCCCAUAAAGCCCAAUUUCACCCCAAAAAGCCCAACUGCACCCCUGAAGGCCCAGUUUCACACCAAAAAGCCGUAUUUCACCCCCAAAACUCCCCAUUUUCACCCCCCAAAGAGCCCCUUUUCACCCCUAAAAAUAUUUCAUCCUCAAAGAGCCCCAUUUCAUCUCCCCCAAAACCUCAAAUUUCACCCCAAAAAGCCCAAUUUCACCCCAAAAAGCCACAUUUCACCCUCAACCUCCCCAUUUUCACCCCAAAAAGAGCUCCUUUUCACCCCUAAAAAAAAUUUCACUCAAAAAGCCCUAUUUCAUCUCCCCAAACCCCACAAUUUCAACCCAAAACCCUCAAAUUUCACCCACAAAAGGCACCAUUUCACUCCCCAAAACCUCAAAUUUCUCCCCAAAAAGCUCCAUUUUCACCCCCCAAAAGCCCAAUUUAACCCAUUUCACCUCAAAAAAAAAAACCCUUUCACCCCCAAAAAGCCCAAUUUCACUCUAAAAACAGAAAUUUCAUCCCAAACCCCCACAAUUUCACCCCUAAAAGACACUUUCACCCCCCAGAAGGCCCUGUUUUACCCCCAAAAAACCCAAUUUUGCUGCAAAGAAGCCCCAUUUCAUUUUCAAAAAGCUGCACUUUCACCCCUGAAACCCCCAUUUCACCCCCAAAAGGGCCCCAUUUCACCCCAAAACGGCUCUAAACGUCUCUCAUUGAUGGAUUGAGUUGUGACCGGUCUCAGCCCGGGGGAGGGGGGGGGAAUUAUCGCUC
rnacentral:lncRNA from 1 species